CAGCCACUGAGCUAUAGAGAUCCACACUUCAUCCCUCUUACAACUGCCACUGGGGCCACCCUCUCCUUUCUGCUUUAUUACGUCUGAAAUGCACUUCAUAUGAUAACAUUCCUUUUCAUUCUGUACUGGACUCUCAUUUGAAAGGAAGAAGUUUUUGACAUUUAACGAUUUUAUUAACAUCUUUGCUUCUUAUGCACCUUAAA
rnacentral:lncRNA from 1 species